GUAGGUGAACCUGCGGAAGGAUCAUUAGCGAGAUUGUUGGGUGUUUGGGGUGUUGAUUGUUGGGUGGGUGGUUGGUUGGGGUGGGUGUUGUUGUCUGUGGUUGUUUGCGGGGCGGGGAAUCGUCCUGCAGUUGCCACAUUGUGUUGUAUAACCACAGUGCCACAUUGUGUUGUAUAACCACAGUGCCACAUUGUGUUGUAUAACCACAGUGCCACAUUGUGUUGUAUAACCACAGCAUCACACACAUCAC
rnacentral:misc_RNA from 1 species